rnacentral:lncRNA from 1 species
AUGGCACACACUUGCCCACAUUCCUUCCUUGGUGACUUCACUCCUGGUGGCUCCAUAGUCAAAAAGGACUUCAUCGACACUUUGGUUCUGCUUUAUAAAUUUGUUUUAAUUUAGUCAGUUGGAAUCAGUGCUUUUAGUCAGGGAAUCUAAUCAGAUUCUCCAAACUGUUACUCUAGAGCCAUCUCUGGGUGGCUCUUUAGUAGCAGCAUGACAUUCAUUAUCUCUUAAAUAGUAAAUUCAGGACAUUUGCACUCGUAUUACUCAUUUUGCUCCCACUUUGGAAAAAAACAAUUAACCAACCACUUCCACCUAAAUAUGUAUGGACUGGACAAAUAAUUACAAUCUAAGUGCUAUUAUUUAGUGCUGGGAGAAUCUUUUUUUUUUUUUUUCUUUCAAGUCUCCUAAAGUCUGAAGACUGGCAGAAGUGUGUGAAGGAAUACAUACCCUAUAAUUAAUAUUGGUAAUUGCCCUUGGACCUUACUUCGUAGAUGACUUAUCUGAGACAAACAUUGGAAAUAAUGGGUCUGAUUCCACUCUUCCUUGGAUGUCUACCAGUCAAAAGCAAGUGCAUUCUAGUUUGCAAAACUCUACAGUGUGCAAAUUCCGUAACUUCUCAGUGGAAAACUUGAUCUGGAACUUGAUCUGGAAGCCAAGGAGUGAAGACAACUUCUUGAAGACAUGAGAUCCACUAACAGAGUGUAAUUAUGAUCAAAGCUUUAGUUUUUACGCCUACAACAACACUUCUAUGUCUACGCUAAACGCCAUAUGAAAAGUGUUGCAGACAUUCACGCACAUCAGAACCCAUCGCAAAUACACGAACUUGGCAAAUGUUGGCAGGAUGAAUGGGAGGAAAACUUGACAUCUGGAGUGGCAGACACAAUUUGAUGAAAAACCAGAACCAAUAUCGGUGCACUGAAAAGACAGAAAAUCUCCUCUGCAGAUAGCCAAAACCCUCAAACAUUCCUUUGAGGGAGAUCUUUGUUUUCUUGCUCUCCUUUGCUUAAUUUCACAAGGAUUGCCUGGAGAUUGUUAGUGCUGACCUUGAGAAUUGUUUGUUUUUAGCUUCUUUAGGCUGUUCCUAAUAGCACUUUAAAUAUAAUUUGUUGUCAAACCUCUCUGACCUUGAGUCAAUUCAUGUCAAAAUGCUAAUAAACAAAUACAUUUAAUCUAGAUUUGUAUUGGU